rnacentral:rRNA from 1 species
UACGUAGGGCGCAAGCGUUGUCCGGAAUUAUUGGGCGUAAAGAGCUCGUAGGCGGUUUGUCGCGUCUGCUGUGAAAACUCGAGGCUCAACCUCGGGCUUGCAGUGGGUACGGGCAGACUAGAGUGCGGUAGGGGUGACUGGAAUUCCUGGUGUAGCGGUGGAAUGCGCAGAUAUCAGGAGGAACACCGAUGGCGAAGGCAGGUCACUGGGCCGCAACUGACGCUGAGGAGCGAAAGCAUGGGAGCGAACAGG